GGCGCUGUGGCCAAGUGGUUUAAGGCGAAGGUCUGCAAAACCUUUAUCGUCGGUUCGAAUCCGAUCAGCGCCU
rnacentral:tRNA from 1 species